UUACUACUCUCUCCGUCCAGAAUUACUUGUCGAAAAGACGGAUAAAAAUGGAUGUAUCAAUAACUAAAAUAUGUCUAGAUACAUCCAUUUCUCUGACAAAUAAUUUAGGACAGAUGGAGUAUGUU
rfam:Triticum aestivum genome assembly, contig: Triticum_aestivum_CS42_TGACv1_scaffold_130020_2BL